rnacentral:lncRNA from 1 species
UGCCAUAGAACGGGGGGUUUUGGGCUGCAAACAUUUUCCCCCAAGAAACCAAACUUCAGCCUUUCAUUAAUUCUUUCCCCCCCCCCCCCCCCCCCCCUUCCCUGCCAGAUCUUGCUCGUUUUCGGUCGGAUCUAGCUCAUUUUCCAGGCAAGAGAAAACUCACAAUCGUCGUCUAUAUCGUCGUCCUUCUUGAGGGCAGGCGGGAGUGACGCCAUGGCAAUGGCGAAGGGUGUGGAUCGAUCUCCUGCACAGCGAAAAACCACCUAGACUGCGAGACCGAGCGAAAACGAGCGAGCGAGGGUAGGACAAACAUGGCGAAGAAGUGGCCAAUCCAGACGAUGGAUGUUUG